UACGUAGGGUGCAAGCGUUAAUCGGAAUUACUGGGCGUAAAGCGUGCGCAGGCGGCUUUGCAAGACAGAUGUGAAAUCCCCGGGCUUAACCUGGGAACUGCAUUUGUGGACUGCAUGGCUGGAGUGCGGCAGAGGGGGAUGGAAUUCCGCGUGUAGCAGUGAAAUGCGUAGAGUAUGCGGAGGAACACCGAUGGCGAAGGCAAUCCCCUGGGCCUGCACUGACGCUCAUGCACGAAAGCGUGGGGAGCAAACAGG
rnacentral:rRNA from 1 species